rnacentral:rRNA from 1 species
CUACGUAGGUGGCAAGCGUUGUCCGGAAUUAUUGGGCGUAAAGCGCGCGCAGGCGGUCCUUUAAGUCUGAUGUGAAAGCCCACGGCUCAACCGUGGAGGGUCAUUGGAAACUGAGGGACUUGAGUACAGAAGAGGAAAGCGGAAUUCCACGUGUAGCGGUGAAAUGCGUAGAGAUGUGGAGGAACACCAGUGGCGAAGGCGGCUCUCUGGUCUGUAACUGACGCUGAGGCGCGAAAGCUGGGGGAGCGAACAGGAUUAGAUACCCUGGUAGUCCACGCCGUAAACGAUGAGUGCUAAGUGUUAGAGGGUUUCCGCCCUUUAGUGCUGCGGCAAACGCAUUAAGCACUCCGCCUGGGGAGUACGGUCGCAAGACUGAA